UACGAAGGGGGCGAGCGUUGUUCGGAUUUACUGGGCGUAAAGGGCGCGCAGGCGGUCGUGUUUGUCGAGUGUGAAAGCCCCGGGCUCAACCUGGGAAUUGCGCUCGAAACGGCACGGCUAGAGUUCGGGAGAGGAGAGUGGAAUUCCCAGUGUAGAGGUGAAAUUCGUAGAUAUUGGGAAGAACACCGGUGGCGAAGGCGGCUCUCUGGACCGAUACUGACGCUGAGGCGCGAAAGCGUGGGGAGCAAACAGG
rnacentral:rRNA from 1 species